GACGAACGCUGGCGGCGUGCCUAAUACAUGCAAGUCGAACGAAACUUUCUUACACCGAAUGCUUGCAUUCACCGUAAGAAGUUGAGUGGCGGACGGGUGAGUAACACGUGGGUAACCUGCCUAAAAGAAGGGGAUAACACUUGGAAACAGGUGCUAAUACCGUACAUCUCUAAGGAUCGCAUGAUCCUUAGAUGAAAGAUGGUUCUGCUAUCGCUUUUAGAUGGACCCGCGGCGUAUUAACUAGUUGGUGGGGUAACGGCCUACCAAGGUGAUGAUACGUAGCCGAAAUGAGAGGUUGAUCGGCACAUUGCAACUGAGACACGGCCCAAACUCCAACGGGAGGCAGCAGUAGGGAAUCUUCCACAAGGGACGCAAGUCUGAUGGAGCAACGCCGCGUGAGUGAAGAAGGUCUUCGGAUCGUAAAACUCUGUUGUUAGAGAAGAACACGAGUGAGAGUAACUGUUCAUUCGAUGACGGUAUCUAACCAGCAAGUCACGGCUAACUACGUGCCAGCAGCCGCCGUAA
rnacentral:rRNA from 1 species